UGGUAGCAUAAUAAAUCUUAUUUCCCAGGU
rnacentral:piRNA from 1 species